CCCAAUGCGCUCACGAGUACCUACGUCUCUUUCUGCGCAGUAACUCCCAUACUUUCAAUUUCCUUCAUUGUAGUCGUUUUUUUCAGUUUUAAGAGUUUUUGGCUUAUUCCAGGUUUAUCCAUUAUCUUUAUACUUCUUUUGGUCGUUACCAAUUUAACGAGUUUUGCAAAAUUGCAACAGAGUUAAUACAACAAUGCUGAGGUUUCAAUUACACGAAAUGAAAAUGGAAAGUUGGGGAUGGGAGCCUGGAAAUUGGACUAACUUCCUGGAAAUAUUUACUAGAAUCUAGAGAAUUUUAUGGGUAGAAUUAUCGUAAUAAAUUUUUAACUCUCAAUUAUAUCAGAAAUUUAGAUAAAUAAGAGCGGUUCAGCUGUUUUAUAUGAAAAUACAAAAAAGAUCUCCGGUGUUGAGGGAGUGACAUAAGUAGAUGGUGAUCGGUUUGCUCGUAGCAUCGAAUUACCGUUAUUAUCAUCGUCGCCAACACUGGAAUCAAAACAAACCACACCAUUUGCCACUGGUGUUUCAAUGGAUAAAUCGUAACGCCCACGGAUCAUGCACAAUUUUUUCUUCAUUCAGCUGCCAACACCUCACGCCUAAUUUUCUCUGUUGAAUCUCUCAAUAAUUCUUCUGGAAACCAUUGAACCAAAAAGUGUGAUGCAAUUACUUUUACGAUCGAGCUUGAAAAUUCAGCUCACGGCAAAAAUGAAAAGUCGUCUGAAGGGCCUCUUCUUCGGCUUCAUCGUAAAACUUUUCCUACCGAGUGUUAUGAUGGAGUUUUUCCCGUCACCAUGUCCUUCAGAUUGAUCCAGGUUAACACGAAGGACUGAACCUUGAGGCAAUCUCCAGAGAUUGAAACAGCUUCUCUCAAACUGUCUAGCAACAAAAUAAAGUAAAUGUCUAGAGAAAAAAUGGUGAAUUACAUGUUAUGAAGGGUAAAUACAGCAACUUCUUUAGAGGUUACUGUUUCCUCUAAUGACGGACAAAGAUAGAUGAACCAUGGAAAUUAGUCAUGACGAUCUUGUUGAGGUGUCAAGAAACCUCUAGUUAUUGUCCGUUCAUUAUCCAACAUAUUAUGGUCUACUUGGAACACAUUGUUAAUUAAAAUAGAACAAUCUUAUGUUGACAAUGAAGAAACAAGGGACAUCUUCUCAUCAAAACCUUCAAAUUUCAGAGGAAAAAAUUAACAGAACUUUGAAUUUUUAUUCUAUUUCUCCGUGAGCAUUACUAGAAAGCCAGAACAUUAGAUGCAUAUUCCCAUUAAAUUGGAAACUCUGGAAAUCGUACAUUGAGAAAUUAUUGGAUGUUGGAUAAAUUGCACUUAAUAUUGAUUCAAGUCAUCGAAAUUACAAAUAUGUUUUAUUGCCUGAUUGCCUCAGUUAAUUAUUUUUUAAUUCUAGAAAAUGUAUGAGGUACCCUCUGCGCCCGCUGACCUUUCAUUCUCAUCAAAUUACUUAUUAUUAAUUAUUUUUUACCUCCAUUGUAAUUCUGGAGAUAUAAACAAUGAAACCAUUCUAUAUUAUUGUUUUUUCUUACAAUUGUAUCUUGUGUAACUAACAUGUCAUUAUCCGUUUUAAUGCUCAAUUCCGAGACGGAAGCUUUUAUACCAUGAGAUUCAUUUCUUUCAAUUCUUUUAAGAUACUUGCAACCAUUUUUACCUCCAAAAAAUUUGAAUGAGAAUGAGAAAUAAUAUGUUUUUCUUUUACUUAUUAAUUUUAAAUACUUAUUAUUGAUAACUCUGUUUAUAGAACUGAGUAGAAACCCAAUCGCAAUUCUCCUAAUAAUAUGGACUCCCAUUAAAAAUAUAUAUCAUGCUUUUAUCUGAAAAAUGGUGUCAAACUCAUGCUACUGUAAUGGGGUGAGCUGUCGCAAUGAUGGCAAUCUUCAAUUUGGUCCGGUUCUUAAAUAAGAAAAUGCUCUCUAAAUUACAAACUAUUCCUUCUCCAAUGUGAAUCCA